CUCCUUUGAACCCUCUUCGUCUCAAACUCUCUCAAACAUCUCUGAAACCCCAAUCAUUUCCCACCUUAUCUCACCAUGUUUCCAUCGGAAUCCAUAGCGUCUCCGGCAAUGGACGGUCUGUACUCAUCCUUUCUUACAAUCAGACCGAAACUAUUCAAGGUUUGAAGCCCAACUUCGAUGGCCCUCUUCAGAUCCUUCUCAGAUCUGUAGAUCUAUGGCUUCUCCGGCCAUUAUUCCGGCAUGUUCAAG
rnacentral:lncRNA from 1 species